rnacentral:tRNA from 1 species
GCUCCUGUAGUCUAGUCCGGUUUAGGACUCGGCCCUCUCGAGGCCGAAACCCGGGUUCAAAUCCCGGCGGGAGCA